UACUAUUAUCAUUAUUAUUAUUAUUAUUAUUAUUAUUGUUAUUAUUAUUUUCCUGUCUUAAUAAACUGUCUUUAUCUCAACUCACAGGCUUCACUUUCCUGUUUCUCUCCCCCAUCCCAGAGAGGGAGGGGGGAGGGUGAGCGAACAACUGUGUGGUGUUCAGCUGCCGACCAGGUUAAACCACAACAAUCAAAUUCAUGCUUCGGUAACAGAUAUGUAGUCAUGUGCAGAGUCACGUACUCACCAAAUUCAGGAUAUCGACAUGCUCUAACUCUAGAUGAAGUUAUAAGAUGGGACAUAUCUCGGCCAAAAGAAUUUAACUUUUACAUAGAUGAGGGAAGAAGAAAUAAUUUCUCAUAAGAGUUCACUCUCUCCAACCCAUGAACUGAGCAGAGCUCUAAACCUUCUGAAACUCACAGCUACAACUACAUUGAACAUUCUCUAAACAAAAAUGACUUCAAUGUGUAAUUCAUUUAUUUUGGAGAUUAGUUUUUGUUGUUGUUGUUGUUGUUUUCCUUUCUUUCCUUGCAAACAGAAAAGGCAUUGCUACAAAUAUUUUUACUUAAUAUACAGUAUAUAUAUAUAAAUUGAUAGCUAAUUUUGACCUCCACUAUGAUAUGAUGCAAGUACAAAAAAUACUGAUUUAUUGUAAAUAUUUUUGGGGACUAUUCCGUCAUAAAACUGCAACUAUUUUAACAUCUUUUUAUUAGUGCUUAAGCACUAAUUUCACUUUCUUUUUCAGCUUUUGGAACAGAGUUCAGUAACCUUUCCAGAUCCAACAAAAACUGCAUAGCUCAAAAUGGAUUGAAGAAGGCAUAGCAAUAGAGAGAAUAGAGCGAAAAGACAUAGAUUAUGGCCAUAAUCCUCUAUCUUCUUUUAUUCUGACCUCUAUUUAUUUUUAUGCAUUCUAAGAUGGUAAAGAAGGGUCAAAUCCUGUCAAUGUGCUAUAUACAGUUCCCACUGUAGUUUAUCUGAAGGAAGAAAUCAGGCAAAAAUUUCUUACAGU
rnacentral:lncRNA from 1 species